AAAAAGUAUGAACAAUUUGCGCAUAUAAAGGAAAAAUAGUAACACAAUAAUAUAACAAUAGCGAGGCUAUAUACAAGGGGUACCGGUAACGAGUCAACGUGCAGGAUUACGGGUUAGUCGAGUGGAUCUCUCCUGGAGGAGAUGGUCUCCGAAGAUAACAGGCUUCACACUGAUCAACGGAAUGAUAAACCCAGUUCAUUAACAGUGCUCACAAUGAGAUGUUGCAAAACAUUGUCCGCGACAGUGUGCAACCAAGGGAGAAAUGCAUUAUCGACAAUGACCCAACAAACCUCCAGGCUGUUUGACCAAGAAGGAGAGUGAUUGAGUGCUGCAUCAGAUGACCUGGCCUCCACAAUCACCCGACCUCAACCCAAUUGAGAUGGUUUGGGAUGAGUUGGACCACAAAGUGAAGGAAAAGCAG
rnacentral:lncRNA from 1 species